rnacentral:rRNA from 1 species
GAUGAACGCUGGCGGCGUGCCUAAUACAUGCAAGUCGAGCGAACGGACGAGAAGCUUGCUUCUCUGAUGUUAGCGGCGGACGGGUGAGUAACACGUGGAUAACCUACCUAUAAGGCUGGGAUAACUUCGGGAAACCGGAGCUAAUACCGGAUAAUAUUUUGAACCGCAUGGUUCAAAAGUGAAAGACGGUCUUGCUGUCACUUAUAGAUGGAUCCGCGCUGCAUUAGCUAGUUGGUAAGGUAACGGCUUACCAAGGCAACGAUGCAUAGCCGACCUGAGAGGGUGAUCGGCCACACUGGAACUGAGACACGGUCCAGACUCCUACGGGAGGCAGCAGUAGGGAAUCUUCCGCAAUGGGCGAAAGCCUGACGGAGCAACGCCGCGUGAGUGAUGAAGGUCUUCGGAUCGUAAAACUCUGUUAUUAGGGAAGAACAUAUGUGUAAGUAACUGUGCACAUCUUGACGGUACCUAAUCAGAAAGCCACGGCUAACUACG